rnacentral:misc_RNA from 1 species
GAUGAAGAACGUAGCGAAAUGCGACAAGUAAUGUGAAUUGCAGAAUUCAGUGAAUCAUCGAAUCUUUGAACGCACAUUGCGCCCCUUGGUAUUCCAUGGGGCAUGCCUGUUCGAGCGUCAUUUGUACCUUCAAGCUUUGCUUGGUGUUGGGUGUUUGUCUCGCCUUUGCGUGUAGACUCGCCUUAAAAUAAUUGGCAGCCGGCGUAUUGAUUUCGGAGCGCAGUACAUCUCGCGCUUUGCACUCAUAACGACAGCGUCCAAAAGUACAUUUUACACUCUUGACCUCGGAUCAGGUAGGGAUACCCGCUGAACUUAAGCAUAUCAAUAAGCGGAGGA